CCUACGGGAGGCAGCAGUGGGGAAUAUUGCACAAUGGGCGCAAGCCUGAUGCAGCCAUGCCGCGUGUGUGAAGAAGGCCUUCGGGUUGUAAAGCACUUUCAGCGGGGAGGAAGGCGUUAAGGUUAAUAACCUUGUCGAUUGACGUUACCCGCAGAAGAAGCACCGGCUAACUCCGUGCCAGCAGCCGCGGUAAUACGGAGGGUGCAAGCGUUAAUCGGAAUUACUGGGCGUAAAGCGCACGCAGGCGGUCUGUCAAGUCGGAUGUGAAAUCCCCGGGCUCAACCUGGGAACUGCAUUCGAAACUGGCAGGCUAGAGUCUUGUAGAGGGGGGAAGAAUGCCAGGUGUAGCGGUGAAAGGCGUAGAGAUCGGGAGGAAUACCGGGGCGAAGGCGGCCCCCUGGACAAAGACUGACGCUCAGGUGCGAAAGCGUGGGGAGCAAACAGGAUUAGAUACCCGGGUAGUC
rnacentral:rRNA from 1 species